rnacentral:rRNA from 1 species
UACGUAGGGUGCAAGCGUUGUCCGGAAUUAUUGGGCGUAAAGAGCUCGUAGGCGGUCUGUCACGUCGGCUGUGAAAACCUGGGGCUCAACUCCGGGCCUGCAGCCGAUACGGGCAGACUAGAGUUCGGCAGGGGAGACUGGAAUUCCUGGUGUAGCGGUGAAAUGCGCAGAUAUCAGGAGGAACACCGGUGGCGAAGGCGGUUCUCUGGGCAUGUCCUGACGCUGAGGAGCGAAAGUGUGGGGAGCGAACAGG